rnacentral:rRNA from 1 species
GUCCCAGACUCCUACGGGAGGCAGCAGUGGGGAAUAUUGCACAAUGGGGGAAACCCUGAUGCAGCGACGCCGCGUGAGCGAUGAAGUCUUUCGGUAUGUAAAGCUCUAUCAGCAGGGAAGAAGAUGACGGUACCUGACUAAGAAGCCCCGACUAACUACGUGCCAGCAGCCGCGGUAAUACGUAGGGGGCAAGCGUUAUCCGGAUUUACUGGGUGUAAAGGGAGCGUAGACGGCGAUGCAAGCCAGAUGUGAAAGCCCGGGGCUCAACCCCGGGACUGCAUUUGGAACUGUGUGGCUGGAGUGUCGGAGAGGCAGGCGGAAUUCCUAGUGUAGCGGUGAAAUGCGUAGAUAUUAGGAGGAACACCAGUGGCGAAGGCGGCCUGCUGGACGAUGACUGACGUUGAGGCUCGAAAGCGUGGGGAGCAAACAGGAUUAGAUACCCCGGUA